UUUUGAUGAAUUAUUUCCUUGGCCCAUAUGCCAUGCAUAAUGGCUAUUCCUUAUUUAAAAAUGGACACAUGAAACUAUGUUGAGAAGAUUCCAUAUUCUGAGAAUGACAAAAUGACCAACUAGAUAUGCACAUAAAUGUGGCUUUCAUCUUUGCAAACAGGGAAUAGAGGUGUUUCAACUUGUUUCAAAUGUCAAAGCAUUUUCAUUACAAAAUAAAACAUAUGCUGAGAAUCAGGUGCAGGAGGUAAAUUUGAGUGCAGACAUGUACAUACCUAAAGCAUGCCUGACACAUGAAACUUUGAAGAUAAAAACCUACCCAGAGAAUCAAAUAAAAUCCUUUACAGUUAUUUACCAUUUGCUUGGAGUGAAAACUUUGUUAAUAUGUUUGGAUGUCAAGAAAAAUGAAAGCAUCAACGCAAAGAAAAAUGCUGCUCCUUAUGUUAUCUUAUGUUGAUCAGGAUCUGAUGGAAUUUUCAAGCACAAAAAUGUCUCACUUCACACAUGACUUCUAAGCAAGUGACCUUAGAUAACUGUAGAUGGGAAAAAGAAUGAAUACCAAGGAACAAACAUUUGAAUGUCAAGCAAACACCUAUUGGAAUCUCCUCGAUGCUACAAAGCUUUUUAAGUCAGUUUUCAUGGACUCUCUUCAUCUGCAGUACCUAAAGUUCCACACCAUGUAUAGCUCCCCCACACCCCUCAAAAAAGUAUGUUUCAAGCAGGCCAGAAAAAAAAGAGUAAAAUUAAUUAUUGUAAUCAGGAACAAGAGUGCUAUCUCUAACAUCAUGUUCAUGCACUUGAAACCAAAUGCAGCGCAGAAGUGAUGAUAAAGGUUUCACAUUCCCUGACAAACCUGCGCUUAAGUGUGCUAUAGGAUUUUGUUUACUUACGGAAGUCAACUCUAAAUUUUACUGAUAAAGGACGUAACAUAUCUUCUGCAGAAAGAGAUACAGUUGUUAUCUUAAAAAGGCACUGCACCAGAAAGCUAAAGCUCAAAUGGAGUGCUGUGUGGAUGUCAGUCAUUCACUCACUAUUCUGUUAUUGGUGCUCAGCAGCAGUUAUCGUCAGUUUCUUGGGUAAAAUUAUCAUGAGAACUUCUCUUGAAAGCACAUAUAUAUUUUUGAUUGUACUUAUAAUUAAAAGUGAACUUUUGUAAGACGAGGAAUGAUAAAAGGACAAAAAUGUCAACUGCCAGUGAAUGAAUCACACAGUGAACACAACUGAGGGCACAAUGUCUAUAUUAAGGAACCUCUGCAUUCCACUGUGGGAGCAUUAACCCAGAUGUAGCCUGUUUCUCUUCAAUCUGUGCAACAUGCUGAUAAUACUGGCUUUUCCUGGACAUUCAAGACUCAGGGAAGUCACUCUUUUUUUUCAGAGCUAGUUUUUUUCUGUAAGCAGGUGCAUACCAACAACAUUCUGAGCUCCCAUAAUGUCUUGCAAAGACUUGGAAGAGAAUAGUAGAAAGUGAGGCAAAGGACAUCGGAAUCACAUGGGCCCAAAACCAGGUCCGUUGGUGAGGUGUCGUUGCGGUCCUAUGCUCCUCAAGGGAGCAAAAAUUAAGGAAUAAACUAAAACUAUAUUUAUUGUUGCACAAUAGACCUUCUAAGUAGUUCGAUGAGCUACUGGGGCUCUUUGCAAGUCAGUUCGAAUUAGGCAACGGGAUGAGCAGGUUAUAGGAUUACUAACAGAACCAUUAUAUAUCCCACAGGUCAGAGAAGAACCAUGUGUAAUUUUAUACAAUGUAUAUAUUUAUUUAAAUCCAAAAAAAUGAUCCAUAAUUAAUGUUGCCAACUAUGUUUGUGGGUGAUGUAUAUUUCCUAUGACAUAAUAGAAUUAAAUAAAGCAAGUCAUGCCCAUGCCUUCACUGCAUUCACUCCCACAAAUGCCUCAUUUUAUGAUGUUAUUUAAUUUUGAAUGAUGCAAGAAUCUCAAAACACAACUUGAAUGCUUUUGGUGGGAAGAAAUGAACAAAAUUUGUGAUCUGCUAAAAAUGCAAGCAACAACAACAAAAAAGCAAAUAAAGCUAAGAAAAACUGCACGCACUUCCAUAAACACAUUCAUGGUUCAAUAAAUCUGUGCUUAAAACUUUUCUGUGCUUGUGUGCAGUUGUUUCUACUCAAACAAGAAUAUUCAUGAAACACAGGCACCAUCACUAUGUACAUAUUCCAUGGACUGAACUUGUCAAAGGCAAUGUAAACACAGUUCAAAUAUUUUGACCUAAGAUAUAAUGUUGUCACUUGUGAUUUUACAUGAUCACAUGCAUCACUGAAAUAAUUCUAUAAUCUACGUAGAAUGGUUUCUAAUUAAAAAAAAAAAAA